ensembl:snoRNA LOC120101122 small nucleolar RNA U3
AGGACUAUACUUUCAUGGAUCAUUUCUAUAGUUUGUUACUAGAGAAGUUUCUCUGACUGUGUAGAGCACCCGAAACCACAAAGACGAGACAUAGCGCCCCCUCCUGAGCGUGAAGCUGGCUCUAGGUGCUGCUUCUGUGCAGCUGCCUUUUGCCAUUGAUGAUCGUUCUCUCCUUCGGGAGAGUGAGAGGGAGGGAACACAGUCUGAGUGGA